rnacentral:rRNA from 1 species
GACGAACGCUGGCGGCGUGCUUAACACAUGCAAGUCGAACGGUGAAGCGCCUUCCUUUUUGGUGGGUGUGGAUGAGUGGCGAACGGGUGAGUAACACGUGAGUAACCUGCCCCCUUCUUCUGGAUAACCGCAUGAAAGUGUGGCUAAUACGGGAUAUUCUGGGUCUGUCGCAUGAUGGGUCUGGGAAAGAUAUUGUUUCGGUGGGGGAUGGGCUCGCGGCCUAUCAGCUUGUUGGUGGGGUGAUGGCCUACCAAGGCGGUGACGGGUAGCCGGCCUGAGAGGGUGGACGGUCACACUGGGACUGAGACACGGCCCAGACUCCUACGGGAGGCAGCAGUGGGGAAUAUUGCACAAUGGGCGCAAGCCUGAUGCAGCGACGCCGCGUGAGGGAUGGAGGCCUUCGGGUUGUGAACCUCUUUCGCCAGUGAAGCAGGCCUGCCUCGUUUGUGAGUGGGUUGACGGUAGCUGGAUAAGAAGCGCCGGCUAACUACGUG